UUUAUUUAGAUAUCUAACAUACACCAUACUGGCUGUACAUCUCUGGAUGUGUCUCCCGAUGGCAGACAUUUAUCUACCACUGGUGAUAAAGUAGUCAAAGUAUGGGACUAUCAUAUGAGACUGGAUCUCAAUUUCCAGGUGUUCAUAAGCCAUUCUCAGAAUUUGAAGAAACUCUGCUUCACACCUGAUAGCUUGGCAUUGAUUAGUGUUGGUAAAGUUGUAUUUUUAUGGGAUUUUUAUGGUACUGGUAGAGAUGAAGUACUUCCUGUAGAAUGACAGGCUGUACUACAAGAAUAUAGCAUUCUAAUUAUUUGCUAUUCGGACCGAAAAGAUAAUACCCACCCACACCAAAAUUGACAUACCCCUGUGAUACUGUUCAAUGGUGACUGGUCUCCACAGGGUAAAGCAGUUAUCCAAUCAAAGACAUGAAUUCAUGUAUCCGGUCACUCAUCACAUCCUUAUAUGGUA